rnacentral:rRNA from 1 species
UACGUAGGUGGCGAGCAUUGUCCGGAUUUACUGGGCGUAAAGGGAGCGUAGGCGGACUUUUAAGUGAGAUGUGAAAUACUCGGGCUCAACUUGAGUGCUGCAUUUCAAACUGGAAGUCUAGAGUGCAGGAGAGGAGAAUGGGAUUCCUAGUGUAGCGGUGAAAUGCGUAGAGAUUAGGAAGAACACCAGUGGCGAAGGCGAUUCUCUGGACUGUAACUGACGCUGAGGCUCGAAAGCGUGGGGAGCAAACAGG